GACGAACGCUGGCGGCGUGCUUAACACAUGCAAGUCGAACGGAAAGGCCCUGCUUUUGUGGGGUGCUCGAGUGGCGAACGGGUGAGUAACACGUGAGUAACCUGCCCUUGACUUUGGGAUAACUUCAGGAAACUGGGGCUAAUACCGGAUAGGAGCUCCUGCUGCAUGGUGGGGGUUGGAAAGUUUCGGCGGUUGGGGAUGGACUCGCGGCUUAUCAGCUUGUUGGUGGGGUAGUGGCUUACCAAGGCUUUGACGGGUAGCCGGCCUGAGAGGGUGACCGGCCACAUUGGGACUGAGAUACGGCCCAGACUCCUACGGGAGGCAGCAGUGGGGAAUAUUGCACAAUGGGCGGAAGCCUGAUGCAGCAACGCCGCGUGCGGGAUGACGGCCUUCGGGCUGUAAACCGCUUUCGCCUGUGACGAAGCGUGAGUGACGGUAAUGGGUAAAGAAGCACCGGCUAACUGCGUG
rnacentral:rRNA from 1 species